GCCACACCAAAUUGAAACACUAGUUUCCAUACAGUCACUGAAGUUAAGCAACAUUGAUCCUGGUCAGUACCUAGAUAGGUAACCACUUGGAAAUACCAGGUGCUGUAAG